AACCCCCUUCCCCAAACUACCUCUGCUGCUCUCCUUGAUCCCCAAUUCUCUCUUCUGCCUACUUGCCUCCAUCUCGGCCUCCACCUCCACUCCUCGCCCCCGAACAUCCGGCGCUGUCCGCACCCCGACUCCUCUCGUCCUUUCGCGGUCGCGAUGGUGGCGUCCAUGGCGUCGCCGUAGGGGCGAUCGAUCUAGGAGAAAGUGCUGGAGAAUGUGGCGUCGUACCACCAGCAACAACGGAGGCAGAAGCUACGCAAGAGCCUCACCUACACCGGCGGCGAGCUCUCGUUCACUGUCUGGGCCCGUGGGGAUGACCCCACCUCCACGUCCGUCGAGGCACAGAAGGAGGACAUGCCUCUUGAGCACGUCUUCAAAAUCAUCAGAUCUGAUGGCAAAAGUGUGUGUUUAUGGUUCCUGAGUCAGAUGAUCUUUCUUCAGUUUUAGAUGUGAUAGAUAUUGGUAUAAAAGAUAAAAACUAGAAUGCUAUGUCUGUCAAAGGAGCUUUCUUCAGUUCAGGCAGCUCCAUCUCAGUCGUUGUACCCAUUCAACGCCGAGCUGGUGGCAGCGAUGCAGGAGAUGAUCCAGCCGAGGUGUACAAGUACAUGUUAGUGGACGUCACCUGCCAAAGAUACACAGUUUCUACUGUUUUUCAGUUGGAGAAAAUAUUUAAGACAACAUUUUCAUCGUUUGUUCUCCAUAUGGGGCUUGUUUCACGCCACUUGAAGGAAGGAGGGAAUGAUGGUGUUAAGUUCGGACAAUACAUCUACACAUCUAUGAAAUGUACAACCACGAUGUAGAGCAUAGAGUUUCUAAAGUUGGAGAUUUGGAUGAUGUUGGAGAUGUGCUUUGGUGUAGUUCAUCUCUCCCGAAUCAAGAGUCUGGUUUAUGGGGCUAAGGUAGAGGCUGCCAUCGCCAUUGGAUUCAAUGACUUCAUUACAUAUGCUCUGAGAGGCAUUGGGUUCUACCAGAAGGAUAACAUGGAGAUCAAGAAGGCCAAUGGCAAUGGCACACUGAUCCCUGAGCAGAUCUUUGAAAAGACUAGGAGAAGUUCUAGAUGAAUUGAUGCUUGGCUGAAGAGGGAUGUCAGAUUUGUACAAUGCUCACCCACAAAGAAUAAUACAUUUCUCCAAUGUCCACUGUUUUGAAAAAUACCUCCAUUCCAAUGUUUAACAUUCUAACGAUGUCUGAAUUUAUUGUAAAGAGACACAUGAUUGUUCAUUGUUGUAACUUAUGUACAAUAUAUGCGUGUGUGAAAUAAAGAUCAUCUUGGAGC